GACGAACGCUGGCGGCGUGCUUAACACAUGCAAGUCGAACGGAAAGGCCCGGCUCUUGCGGGGUGCUCGAGUGGCGAACGGGUGAGUAACACGUGAGUGACCUGCCCCUGACUGUGGGAUAAAUCCAGGAAAAUGGGGCUCAUACCCGGUAGGAGCUUCUGCUGCAUGGGGGGGGUUGGAAAGAUUCGGCGGUUGGGGAUGGACUCGAGGCUUAUCCGCUGGUUGGGCGAGUAGUGGCUUACCAGCGCUUCGACGGGUAGGCGGCAUGAGAGCGUUACCGGCCACAUUGGGCCUGAGAUACGGCCCAGUCUCCUACGGGCGGCAGCGGUGGGGAAUCUUGCACAGUGGGCGGAAGCCUGAUGCGGCAACGCCGCGUGCGUGAUGCCGGCCUUCGGGUUGUAAACCGCUUUCGCAUGUGCCGAAGAGUGCUUGACGGUAAUGGGUAAGGAAGCCCCGGCUAACUACGUG
rnacentral:rRNA from 1 species